rnacentral:rRNA from 1 species
AGCGUUGUCCGGAAUUAUUGGGCGUAAAGAGCGUGUAGGCGGCCAGAUAAGUCCGCUGUGAAAUCUCGAGGCUCAACUUCGAGCUGUCGGUGGAAACUGUCUGGCUAGAGUCCGGAAGAGGAGAAUGGAAUUCCUGGUGUAGCGGUGAAAUGCGCAGAUAUCAGGAAGAACACCCGUGGCGAAGGCGGUUCUCUGGGACGGUACUGACGCUGAGACGCGAAAGCGUGGGGAGCGAACAGG